rnacentral:tRNA from 1 species
GCUAUGGUGAUGAAAACUUUACAUGUAUAACUUGGAUUUAUUAUCUACUGUCUUGUGGGUUCGAUUCCCGCCCCGGGCG